ACGAGAAUAUUCCGCAAUGGACGAAAGUCUGACGGAGCGACGCCGCGUGAUGGAUGAAGUGCCUUGGUACGUAAACAUCUUUUAUCGGGGACGAAGUUUAUUGACGGUACCCGAUGAAUAAGGGGCUCCUAACUCUGUGCCAGCAGGAGCGGUAAUACAGAGGCCCCAAGCAUUAUCCGGAAUCACUGGGCGUAAAGGGUGUCUAGGCGGCCAUAUUAGUCUCUCGUUAAAUCCGUGGGCUCAACCUGCGGCCAGCGAGGGAAACGGUAUGGCUCGAGGGCGUAAGAGGUGCAUGGAACUCAUGGUGGAGGGGUGAAAUCCGUUGAUAUCAUGGGGAACACCAAAGGCGAAGGCAAUGCACUGGUACGUUCCUGACGCUCAAACACGAAAGCCAGGGUAGCGAAUGGGAUUAGAUACCCUAGUAGUCCCUGAGCGGGCUGGCAAGGCGCAU
rnacentral:rRNA from 1 species